UAUAAGACUGCACUCCCAUUCCUAAGGUCCCUAGGUCUUGUAGAUUACAGCUUUUAGCCUGUACUCUAUAGCUUUUAUCUUUUUCUCUAUCCUUCUGCAAGUCUCACAGCUUCUCAUCCUCUUGCCAAUGUCUUUGGAAAACCAUUUUAAAGAAUUUGAGCCUGAGAAGGAUUUAAAGCCUGCAUGCUGGGAGGUUUGGAGAUAAGAGCAAAGCUCCUAGAUUAUUGGAGUCUGCAAUAGAAGGCAUGUGGCGAAUGCACCCAGUGUUUACUGAGAAAUUAGCUUAAUUCAAAAAGAAAGUCUUUUGCUUUCAGACAAUGAUAUGAGUUCCAGUUAACUUUGACAAAUGAAAAUACCUGAUGAAAUGAAGGACAAGUAUUUGGAAUGAAGGGAAGAAUUGCUGGUCGAGGGAGAUGUGGUUUUCUUGCCUCUACACAGGAAAGAACAAUGAGUUGUACUUCCUGCAAACUGGGAUGACCAUUACAGACCAUCCAUCUGUAUGGCUUCUCGGUGUGUCCCUAGCUGUUGUGGAGUGGAACUCACUUUUUAGACUAGAGAGGUUUCGAACUCAGAGAUUCAACUGACUUUGCUUUCCAAGUAUGUAGAUUAGAGAAAAGCUAGGUAAAUUCCAGCAGAGGCUUUCAUGGAGAAAGUGCCAACACUGCGGCAAAGAAGACUAAACACAGAGAUUAAAGUGCAGAAAGGAAGAAAGAUUGAUGAGGCAUGAAUCCUGAGAGUCAACAUCAAGAUCUUAAAAACCAAUCUCUUGCUUUAUUUGGAUCUGGUGGGAUUCGCUAAAUUCAGAAGCAACGUGAUGGAAAGUCCCUGUUCUGAGCAAGAUGAGAGGCAUUCAAUUCUGCCCUGGCUACAGAUAAAUGGCAUGGAAGGAAAAGUCGUGAAUCAGUAAAUACAGUGAUCGAGAAAAGCAGAGGAAAGCCGAUUUUCCUGGCCUUUCAAGCAUUUCCUAGAGAUGAAUGACAGUAAAAGGAGACUGGAAAGCCCAAAGACCCUGCUAUUGAAUACAGUAACAAGGAAGACUUACAGAUGUUAACCGGCAGCGCUAGGAGCUGAAGAUGCAGCUUCAUUUGGGCAGAACACGUUAGCACCAGCAUUGUCUCUUACACAUCUCUGAAUUAAUGAAUCCUCUGAAAAAUUUUCAGUUAUCACAAAAGUUUGGAAAAUUUUUAUUACAAAAUUCUUCUCAUUUUAAAUAUUUCUCAGAGAUAUUCAUUUUCCUAGGAGGAUAAAGUUGUUUUAUUGUGUAUUUUCUUACUGUUGCUAGUUUUGUUUCUGUUUUGUUGAUUCGAUUAGUAUGGUUAUUAAGCAAAUGCUAAUGUUUUAGAUAAACAUUGAUAUGAUGUAAAUUAAUGGAAGGAUACCUGUAAAUCAUUCUUUUUUCAGAAAUAAAGGUAUGUUUUGCAAUUAUCUUAGUAAAUAAAUUGUUAAGCACAUUUUUCUUUCCUAUGGAAUUGCUUUUCUCACCUUAAGGUAACAUUACUCCCUUAUUCUUCCCUUUCCAUUGGCCUCUUUUCUCCCUCACUCCGCACUUUU